rnacentral:lncRNA from 1 species
AUUUCCUUUAAAUGUUGGCUGUGUUUAGGGAGAUACUCCGCAUGGAAGGCCGCUAGGAACUGCUCCCAAGUAACUGGUACAGGCAGGGUGGCCCGCUUGAGCUCCCACCAGCGUACUGCUUCCCCUACCAGUAUGUAGGAGGCAAUGGCAGCCCUCUGCUCGGGAACUACUCCCAAGGUCUCAAAAGCUCUCUCAGUCUCUGCCAGCCAGUAUUGGGCCUCUUCGAACGAGGAUCCCCCUGAAAAAGUAGAAGGGUUCAGUCUCCUGUACCUCUCUAUGAAGCCGGGGUCGAUCAAGGAGGGAGCGGGGUCCCGAGGUAGAGGGACUGGGGCCGGCUGAGGGUGGACUGGGGGACCCUGUGGUGGCGCCUGCUGAUAGGGUGGGGGCACUGGAAUGUGCUGUG